CAGUCGCCGCGGGAAUACGAAGGGGGCUAGCGUUGCUCGGAAUGACUGGGCGUAAAGGGCGCGUAGGCGGCGGCCAAAGUCAGGCGUGAAAUUCCUGGGCUCAACCUGGGGGCUGCGCUUGAUACUUGGUUGCUUGAGUGGGGAAGAGGGUCGUGGAAUUCCCAGUGUAGAGGUGAAAUUCGUAGAUAUUGGGAAGAACACCGGUGGCGAAGGCGGCGACCUGGUCCUUGACUGACGCUGAGGCGCGAAAGCGUGGGGAGCAAACAGGAUUAGAUACCCGGGUAGUCCCUGUCUCUUAUAC
rnacentral:rRNA from 1 species